rnacentral:rRNA from 1 species
AACGAACGCUGGCGGCAUGCCUAACACAUGCAAGUCGAACGAGACCUUCGGGUCUAGUGGCGCACGGGUGCGUAACGCGUGGGAACCUGCCCUUAGGUUCGGAAUAACUCCCCGAAAGGGGUGCUAAUACCGGAUAAUGUCUUCGGACCAAAGAUUUAUCGCCUUUGGAUGGGCCCGCGUUGGAUUAGCUAGUUGGUAGGGUAAAAGCCUACCAAGGCGACGAUCCAUAGCUGGUCUGAGAGGAUGAUCAGCCACACUGGGACUGAGACACGGCCCAGACUCCUACGGGAGGCAGCAGUGGGGAAUAUUGGACAAUGGGCGAAGGGCUGAUCCAGCAAUGCCGCGUGAGUGAUGAAGGCCUUAGAGUUGUAAAGCUCUUUUACCCGGGAUGAUAAUGACAGUACCGGGAGAAUAAGCUCCGGCUAACUCCGUG